rnacentral:tRNA from 5 species
GGAGAGAUGCUCGAGUGGCUGAAGAGGCACGCCUGGAAAGCGUGUAUACGUCAAAAGCGUAUCGGGGGUUCGAAUCCCCCUCUCUCCG